rnacentral:rRNA from 1 species
UGGGCAACCUGCCCCUGGCUCGGGGAUAACUCCAAGAAAUUGGGGCUAAUACCGGAUAUGACUGCUGACCGCAUGGUCUGGUGGUGGAAAGAUUUAUCGGCUGGGGAUGGGCCCGCGGCCUAUCAGCUUGUUGGUGGGGUAGUGGCCUACCAAGGCGACGACGGGUAGCCGGCCUGAGAGGGCGACCGGCCACACUGGGACUGAGACACGGCCCAGACUCCUACGGGAG